rnacentral:rRNA from 1 species
UACGUAGGGCGCGAGCGUUGUCCGGAUUUAUUGGGCGUAAAGAGCUCGUAGGCGGCUUGUCGCGUCGUCCGUGAAAACCUGGGGCUCAACCCCAGGCUUGCGGUCGAUACGGGCAGGCUCGAGUUCGGUAGGGGAGACUGGAAUUCCUGGUGUAGCGGUGAAAUGCGCAGAUAUCAGGAGGAACACCGGUGGCGAAGGCGGGUCUCUGGGCCGAUACUGACGCUGAGGAGCGAAAGCGUGGGGAGCGAACAGG